AUGAAAAAAAUUGAUGUAAUUUCCAGAAUCAGUGACAAAUUAAGCCACUAGAACUCGUGAAGUUUGUUCAGUGUCAUUCAAUCAUGUUCUGAUAGUAAGUUAUGAAGAGUAAAGUAAAAUAUCCGCUUAAAAUAUUAAAAUUUCACAUUUUACUGCGAUUUACGUCAUACGUCUGCAGUCGUGCAUACCAUUUUUCUUCCCAUCUUUGUAAUAGACGCUAAUAGCGAUGGCGUCACCAUAGAUAUACAUCAUUCUGUCGAAUUUGAUCCAAAAUUAACGGUGACAUUACACUUUCGUUAAUUUGGUAAGUAUGACCUCGUGUGUGCAGCAUUUUAAAAAUAAAUUCUUUGUUACCGUAAAAUCAGAGCUGCCUGUAACUAACUGAUUACUGAAUUCAUGGGUCGUUCAUCAAUCGUUUUAGAUGCUGAUAAUAUGUCAUGCAGAAUCAAAAAUGUCACCGAAGCAACGGUUACAGACGAAUACUCAAGAAUUCUUGGUGUGGCGCAACCAGCCCACUCAGGUUCAUCCUAUGACGCAACACUCUGUGAACAAAGUAGAGAAAUGGGAACUCAGCGGCUCUUCUGGAAGUUUCUUGGGGUCAUCAGGUGCUGUGGAAGUUUCGCAUGAUUCGGGCUCUUCGGAUGUGUCCACUUUCAUACCUGUGCAAGACGAUGCAGUCGUUCAAAGUGCUGAGAACGCAGGACUCUUAUUGGGCUUCGACACCCGACUAUUCCGAAACCCCCCGAUCGAAACAGGCAAAGGCAUUGCUCAGAAGUUAUCGACCCGCACACUCGAAUCCAGUAAAAACCUUAACCAGCCACAGAGUAGACUUCCCAUCAAUGCCGAAGGCGCAAGAAGUAUAGUGCGAACACUUUCGUCAAAACUUCGGAAAUUCGCACCUUCUAAGAGCGUCAGUCCAAAACUCGAGGAUGAGAAAUCCAAGCCCUCCUCAUCUUUCAGGAGCAAAAGCAGUCGCUUAUCAUUUCAGUCCCUUUGGCGCGACAGAAGCUCAGCAAAAUCAAAACAAAUAAAACAUCCUCGUUCUCAUCCCACCGAUCCUUCGUUAAAAACUCUCCUUCCGGAAGAAAAGUGUGCCUCUGCCGGUGCCACAAGUCUUCCUCGAAAAUCCCCUCACAGAAGAGGAUCCCACUUUUUAAAAAUCAAGCCAAAUCCAAAAGCAUCCCCCCGAAAUCCUUAACUGCAAAUCCAAUGAAAAACUACCCCACUUAUCCACAAUCUCGCAUGCGCCGCCCGGAUCCUGGUCGUUACCCUCAUGGCUAUUCCUCAUAUCAUUCUGACAGUCUCUAUAGACCCCGUCCUCGUCCCCACGAUAACUCCCCACCUCCACCUUACCAUCAAGAUCCCCCGUUGGGUCCAUCCCGGAUGAAUUACCACAACUUCGCCUUGCCAGCGAGCAAAUUCGGCAAAAAGUUGCGAUGUUUACUGGGACGUAAACGGCGCCAUAGCUAUACCUGUUGCGUGGAGGAUAGUGACGGUAGCGACGGGGAUGGGGACAACGAGGCCCCCUCAGCUAACUCAGGCUGUUUUCCUUGUUGUUGUGGCGACAACUUUUGCGGUGAUGGUGGUGAUGAUAAUGGAGGUGAUGACAGCGACAACGAACAGGCGAAUGCGGGUAUGGCAGAGUGCUGCGCAUGGAUGACCGGAUUGUUCACCGGGGAAUGCACUGGCGAUUGUUUUAAUCAGUCCGGGAUGAACGAUGAUAUUAUCGGGUGGUGCUGUGAUGCCCUGUUGGCGGUCAACUGUGCCGACCCAUAACCUCCAGCAAGAAUAAGGUCUUGUCUCCGAGGGACAUUCUCAUGGGAUAUGUCCCGAGUUCGAAUCGCAGCAGCAUGAUUGUUGAAAUUUUUUGCUUUUCGGGACGACAUAGAUGACAUAGGUCAAAAAGGAGAGCGUGAUUGGUCGGCUAUGUAUUUGUCGUGCCUAUGUCGGGUUGAACUCACGACAAUCUAACGGCACCCCUUAAGUUUUCGACAGUAUGUCGUCCAUUCCACUUGACAAAGGCACGACAAAGCAGCGAUAAGACAUAGCCGACCAAUCACGCUCCGCCUUUUUAAAACGCAUGUCAUCUAUAUGUUGUCCCGACAAACAAAAAAUUUUAACAAUUAGGCUGCAGCAGGAUUAAAACUCCUGGAAUUUUUUUCAGUUAUUGUCUCUUGAAGUGUUAUACAAGUGUGUAGUCUUGAAUUUAUUAUAGACUAAAGCGGUUAAUGAUGGACUAAGUAUAGGGUCCUUCGUGGGGUGCUGUUAGUUAUUCCAUUACCUAUACCUCCUAUGCGCAUUGUAACCACCCGCUUCCUCCGGUAGGAUCCCUCCAUAUCCCUUUAGCUAUGUCUAUCAUUUUCGACAAUCAGCCCGCUGCUCAUACUUGAAAUAUGAACCGGACACAAAUGACGAGUUUGGUUGGAUCUGGAAGUUUCAAAAUUCAAAUUCAAUAUUAUUAUGCGUACUUCUCGGAAGGAAAAAUGAAUUUGAGCCUUUUUGAUUACAUCCCAUUAGAAUGUAUGCUCCUCUGAUCCUAAAAAUUUCAGUUUCAUGGUACAACUUCAGACAUUUUUUGGAGGAUGCAGUUAAUCGAGAAUGAGGCAAAUUAUUAAAUCCUCACUUAAAAUCUUCCAGUGAAUCCAUUUUUUUAAUAUUUUCAAAAUUUUUAAGAGUACAUUUCCUCAAGACCCCCAAAAUGUAAUUGUUGACAAAUGUUUUCUGUAUCUUUGGGUGUGGCUUACAAAGGAGUAUCUCAACUCUGAGAUUCGUCAAGAAGUACCUUUUGUGCCCUUUUAAUGCGUCAUUAGAUUAUAAGUAUAUUUCAUAAUAAAAUGUAUGCUCCUCCGAUCGUAAUACUUUAAUGGUGCAACUUUAGACAUUUGUUGGAGGACACAGUUAAUGGGGAAGAAGGCAAAUCAUACAAUCCUCAUCAAAUUCUUUAGAAUAAAUUCAUUUUUUCAAAAUUUUUGAGACUAAAGUUCCUCAAGACCCAAAAAUGUAACUUUUGACAAAUGCUUACCACACCUUUGGAUGCGGCUUAAAAAGUAGUAUCUCAAUAUUUCUCAGACUCGUCAGAAAGUGCCUUUUGCGCCCUUUUAUCCUAGAUGCGAAUAAUUUUAAUCUUUGUCACGAGAAAAUUUCUCUCAUAAUUCCUGCACGGACUGGAUUAAGGGAGGAAACGUAGGACGAGAGAAUUUGGCGGGAACCGGGGGACGAUCAUGCGUAGGCGGUAGGCAGGCGGUGGAAGGUGGGUGGCAUAACCCUCCCGGCGCUGUGCGGUGUCAGUAGUUCUCGUCAAGGAUAUCCUGCCGGGCGUGCCGAAACAUUUUCUGUUGAAGCAGGUGAGUGGUUGUCGUCGACUUUCCGUGCUUCCAAAGACAGCAGUAUGUACAAAAAUAAAUUAUUUAGAACAUAUGCUUUUCGUGGUUUGUAAGCGAAAAUAUUUUUUGUAGUUACAGGUUUCGAUGUAUUUUUUAUUCAUUCAUUUCUUGUUUUAUUUCGUUUUCUUUGAGGUAAUCACGAAUGAGCAGAAAUGAAUCAUCCAGAAUAAGAAAAUUGUUCAGGAUAACGAAGUGAAAAAAUGAAUAAAAUCAUCAAGACUAGUCACCUUCUAGUGUAAGGUUCUUUGGUAAAUGUCGUGCCCACAAAAUAAAUAAAGAGAAAUAGU
rnacentral:lncRNA from 1 species